rnacentral:misc_RNA from 1 species
CAACCCUCAAGCCCCGCUUGGUGUUGGGGUCCUACGGCCCUCCCGCCGUAGGCCCCUAAAUGAAGUGGCGGGCUCGCUAAAGUCCUGAGCGCAGUAGCACAUCUCGCUUGUGGUAUUUGGCGGGUUCCGGCCGUUAAACCCCCAAUUUUUAGAA